UACGUAGGGGGCAAGCGUUGUCCGGAUUUAUUGGGCGUAAAGAGCGUGUAGGCGGCUUGGUAGGUCCGCUGUGAAAACUCGAGGCUCAACCUCGAGAUGUCGGCGGAAACCACUUGGCUAGAGUCCGGAAGAGGAGAGUGGAAUUCCUGGUGUAGCGGUGAAAUGCGCAGAUAUCAGGAAGAACACCUAUGGCGAAGGCAACUCUCUGGGACGGUACUGACGCUGAGACGCGAAAGCGUGGGGAGCGAACAGG
rnacentral:rRNA from 1 species